AGCAGUAGCCACGGGAAUACGUAGGGUGCAAGCGUUACUCGGAAUUACUGGGCGUAAAGCGUGCGUAGGUGGUGGUUUAAGUCCGUUGUGAAAGCCCUGGGCUCAACCUGGGAAUUGCAGUGGAUACUGGGUCACUAGAGUGUGGUAGAGGAUAGUGGAAUUUCCGGUGUAGCAGUGAAAUGCGUAGAGAUCGGAAGGAACAUCUGUGGCGAAGGCGACUAUCUGGGCCAACACUGACACUGAGGCACGAAAGCGUGGGGAGCAAACAGGAUUAGAUACCCCUGUAGUCCCUGUCUCUUAUAC
rnacentral:rRNA from 1 species